rnacentral:tRNA from 1 species
GCCGACUUAGAGGCCGCAACUGACUUGUAAUCAGUAGGUCCCGGGUUCGACUCCUGGUGUCGGCACCA